CAGUGACAACACUGCGGAAGUGUCAUGGCGCCGUGCGUCAUGCAUUGUCAGAAGCAACACUAGCACCAAGCAACUCUUAUUGCUUCUUCUCCUAAAGUGUGGACUUGAACCCUUGAACAUAUAAAAAGGACAUUGGAGGAACCAUAGUUUUAGGAUGGCUGAGUCAGGCUCAGGUAACCCCAGUGGUCAACGUGUGCCAGCGACCCCCGCAGGGAGCGCCACGGGACUCCUGAUGGGCCGCCGCACCCCCGCCGCCCUCUCUGCUGGCCGCCUCCCCUCAAUGCGCUCCAGAGACCUCACCCUGGGGGGAGUGAAGAAGAAAACCUUUACACCCAACAUUAUUGGCCGGAAAGCAAAAGAAGA